rnacentral:tRNA from 1 species
GGAGAGAUGGCUCAGUGGUUAAGGGCACUGGUUGUUCUUCCAGAGGAGCUGGGUUCAAUUCCCAGCAUCCA